UUUCUCCUUUUUCUACCCACUCUUGUUUUGAUCUUAUUUGAGCUCCUUUUGCUUUGUAUUCAUAUUGAUUUUCUAGCUCUUUCUCUAAAGUGGAUAUUUUUUCUUUUAUAAAAUCAUUAUCUUCAUUAUUAGAUUUUUCAUAUAAUAUUUUUAAUUGUAGUUCUAAAUUACGCGUUACAUUUUUUCUCAGUUUAGCUUUACUUUUACUGUACUGAAUACUGUAUUCCUUUAUUUCUAAUUUGAGGGAGUCCCACAGAAGUCUAGGAUCUAUUUCAUUUUUUCCUAUCUCAUUACUAUGUUUUUGUAUAAUUUUAUUUAUUUUGUCUUCGUAUUCUUGUUCGUUGAGAAUACCGUUGUUAAUUUUCCAAUACCCCGGGCCUCUUGUUUCAGAUGAUACAGAUUGUAAUUGUAUUGAUACUGCUUGGUGGUCAGUACUUUUAAUAAGAAUAGGCCUAAUAUCACAUGACUUUACGUUUAACACGAAAUCUUUUUUAACUAGGAACAUGUCAAUUCUACUAGACUGAACUGGAUUUUUACGUCUCCAUGUAUAUUGGAUCUUUUGAGGGUUAACGUGUCUCCAUAUAUCUAUAAGAUCAUUUGAUUUUAUUAGAUUUUUUAGGCUAUUGACUGGUUUACU
rnacentral:lncRNA from 1 species